rnacentral:rRNA from 1 species
UACGUAGGGUGCAAGCGUUAAUCGGAAUUACUGGGCGUAAAGCGUGCGCAGGCGGUUGUUCAAGACAGAUGUGAAAUCCCCGGGCUUAACCUGGGAAUUGCAUCUGUGACUGCACGGCUAGAAUCUGGCAGAGGGGGGUAGAAUUCCACGUGUAGCAGUGAAAUGCGUAGAGAUGUGGAGGAAUACCGAUGGCGAAGGCAGCCCCCUGGGCUAAGAUUGACGCUCAUGCACGAAAGCGUGGGGAGCAAACAGG